GUGGGGAAUCUUCCGCAACGGACGAAAGUCUGACGGAGCAACGCCGCGUGAGUGAUGAAGGUCUUCGGAUUGUAAAGCUCUGUUAAUCGGGACGAAAGAGCCUAGUGUGAAUAAUGCUAGGAAGUGACGGUACCGGAAUAGAAAGCCACGGCUAACUACGUGCCAGCAGCCGCGGUAAUACGUAGGUGGCAAGCGUUGUCCGGAAUUAUUGGGCGUAAAGCGCGCGCAGGCGGAUCUGCCAGUCUGUCUUAAAAGUUCGGGGCUUAACCCCGUGAUGGGAUGGAAACUACAGAUCUAGAGUAUCGGAGAGGAAAGUGGAAUUCCUAGUGUAGCGGUGAAAUGCGUAGAUAUUAGGAAGAACACCAGUGGCGAAGGCGACUUUCUGGACGAAAACUGACGCUGAGGCGCGAAAGCCAGGGGAGCGAACGGGAUUAGAAACCCUGGUAGUCC
rnacentral:rRNA from 1 species